rnacentral:rRNA from 1 species
UACGAAGGGUGCUAGCGUUGUUCGGAAUCACUGGGCGUAAAGCGCGCGUAGGCGGUUAUUCAAGUCAGGGGUGAAAUCCCGAGGCUCAACCUCAGAAUUGCCUUUGAAACUGUAUGACUGGAGUGUCGGAGGGGAUAGCGGAAUUGCUAAUGUAGCGGUGAAAUGCGUAGAUAUUAGCAGGAACACCGGUGGCGAAGGCGGCUAUCUGGACGACAACUGACGCUGAGGCGCGAAAGCGCGGGGAUCAAACAGG